CCCGAGUUCAAUUUCCAGAACUCAGGUUUAAAAAAAGCUGGACGUGGUGAUGGCUGGUGUACACUUGUCAUCUCAGCAUUGGGGCAGAGGAGGCAUGUAGAUUGCUAGAGCUUACUAACAGCAAGUUUGGCCAAACUAGUGAGAGACCCUGAUUCAAAAAAAACAAGGUCGGUGGCAACUGAGGACAACACUGGCCUUAAGCUCUGGCCUCCACACACUUGCACAUACAUGCACUGUCAACUACCAGACACACAUAGCUGUACACACACACACACACACACACACACACACACACACACACACACAACAUUUUAGCAAGGAAGAUGAGUAAGAAUUACCUACAACUGCUUAAAGCACGUGUCAGCAAACUUUUUCUACAGCGCACCAGAGGGUAAAUAUUCUACGUUUCACUGGCCAUAUAUUCUGUGUUGUGAUUACUUAAUUCUACCGGAAGUUAAGAGAAUGCAAGCCACAAGCACUAUGCAAAUGAAGUCCGAUUACAUUUCAACAAAACUUUAUUCGUGGAUGCUCAUAUUUGAGUUUUAUAUUUUCAAGUGUCACAUAGUAUUCUUUUGUUUUGUUUUCCCCAGCCAUUUGGAAGUUUGAAAUUCAUUCUAAUCACACCACUCACAUGAAGAGAUAAGCUGUAUUUGCUAAUACUUUAUGUAUAAUGGGCUAUCAAACAGAAGAGGGGUGAUUAUUAUUAAUUUUAUUACACACACAUAUAUAAGUAUAUAUUAUGUAUUUAUUUAUGUGUAAUAGAGGGCACACUACUGCUAUAGCAAGCAUGUGGCAGUCAGGGGACAGCUUGCUGGAGUCGGUUAUCUCCUAGUAACUGGGGUCUGAACUCACGUCAUAAGCCUUGGAGGUAAAUAUCUCCACCCACUGUCCUUCCCGAAGGUAAUAAUUAUUCUCUUUAAGCCUAGUGGGCAAUAUAUGAAGACUCAAGGAAGCAGCUUCUGCUAAAAUCCUGGAGUUCCUUCUAGCCAUUAGAGUAAUUCCAAUGGAAUUAUUAGUUGUAUUUCCUCUUCCCUUAGUAGCACAAGGGUUAAAGGCCGUUUCCACACCUGCUCGGUGUAGCUCACCUCCCCCGCUACUCUCAGUCUACUCUAUGAACGUGGGCAGAUUAGUUAGUACCAUUCUGUUCCCAGAAUUCAUCCCAAAACAAUAGAACCAGAUAUCUAGAGGUAUCCUCAAAAUUCAGUACGUGACUAUAUAGAAAAUCCUGAGAGCAGGCGAUGACAUCUUUGUCCGCUCUCAUCAUCAUUACGGUCUUGGUCUCGUCCCUGAGACGCCAUGGAGACAUGUGUGUUGGUCAGUUGUCUGCUGUUGUCACAAAAUAAUUGAGGAUAUUAACUUCUGAGGGAAAUUUAUCUUGACUCAGAGGGCUCAACACAUAAUCUCCAGUGAGGAAGGAUAUCAUGGUAGGGCUAUGUGGUGGAGGAAGCUGCUUAUGUAUUGGUGGACAGGAAGAAGAGAAAGACUAAUAAUUGGAGAGCACGAUGAGGGUAAGAAGGAUUUGGAGCACACCAGUGAGUUGGGAGUCCCAGGAUCCCAUUCCAAGGCGUACUCUCCAUGACCUGGCUUCUUUUAAAGACACCACCCUUCCCGGUAGCAUUAUAAAAUGGGGAUCAAACCUUUAAGGAACUAUGGGCAAGGGGAAGACACUUUACAUAAAAACUGGAACUGUAUGUGUAUUUUACUGAAAAGGUCUCUACUUUGCAUGGGCUGGAAUAAUAGAUGGACUUAGAUGCUUCCUCUCACUCGUGACUUUCAUUCUCCUUAAGUUACUGUCCGGUGCUUCAGUCCUGAGACUCACUGUUGUUGAAACUUGAGAAGAAACAGCACCAUGCUUCUAGCCAUGAAUAUUAGCAUGGCUCAUGCAAAAAGGCCUGUUCAUCUUUACUUCCAUUUUGAUCAUGUGACCUUCCCUUCUGUUAUCUGGCUGGAACCGCAGCACCAAUGUCUCGGAGCAGCAAACACAACAAGAGUCACCAAACAGCAGAGAAGACCUGGCAGGCCUCUCAUAGCAUCAUUUCCAUCUUUCAGAUGAGGGGACAAGGGGACAGACGGCAUAAAACCUCAUGCCUCCA